UACGUAGGGUGCAAGCGUUGUCCGGAAUUAUUGGGCGUAAAGAGCUCGUAGGCGUCUGUCGCGUCGAAUGUGAAAACCCGGGGCUCAACCCCGGGCCUGCAUUCGAUACGGGCAGACUAGAGUUCGGUAGGGGAGUCUGGAAUUCCUGGUGUAGCGGUGAAAUGCGCAGAUAUCAGGAGGAACACCGGUGGCGAAGGCGGGACUCUGGGCCGAUACUGACGCUGAGGAGCGAAAGCGUGGGGAGCGAACAGG
rnacentral:rRNA from 1 species